rnacentral:rRNA from 1 species
AGAGUUUGAUCCUGGCUCAGGAUGAACGCUAGCUACAGGCUUAACACAUGCAAGUCGAGGGGCAGCAUUUCAGUUUGCUUGCAAACUGAAGAUGGCGACCGGCGCACGGGUGAGUAACACGUAUCCAACCUGCCGAUAACUCCGGGAUAGCCUUUCGAAAGAAAGAUUAAUACCGGAUGGCAUAUGAUUAUCGCAUGAUAAUCCUAUUAAAGAAUUUCGGUUAUCGAUGGGGAUGCGUUCCAUUAGUUUGUUGGCGGGGUAACGGCCCACCAAGACCGCGAUGGAUAGGGGUUCUGAGAGGAAGGUCCCCCACAUUGGAACUGAGACACGGUCCAAACUCCUACGGGAGGCAGCAGUGAGGAAUAUUGGUCAAUGGACGGGAGUCUGAACCAGCCAAGUAGCGUGAAGGAUGACUGCCCUAUGGGUUGUAAACUUCUUUUAUACGGGAAUAAAGUGGUCCACGUGUGGAUUUUUGUAUGUACCGUAUGAAUAAGGAUCGGCUAACUCCGUGCCAGCAGCCGCGGUAAUACGGAGGAUCCGAGCGUUAUCCGGAUUUAUUGGGUUUAAAGGGAGCGUAGGUGGACAGUUAAGUCAGUUGUGAAAGUUUGCGGCUCAACCGUAAAAUUGCAGUUGAUACUGGCUGUCUUGAGUACAGUAGAGGUGGGCGGAAUUCGUGGUGUAGCGGUGAAAUGCUUAGAUAUCACGAAGAACUCCGAUUGCGAAGGCAGCUCACUGGACUGCAACUGACACUGAUGCUCGAAAGUGUGGGUAUCAAACAGGAUUAGAUACCCUGGUAGUCCACACAGUAAACGAUGAAUACUCGCUGUUUGCGAUAUACAGUAAGCGGCCAAGCGAAAGCGUUAAGUAUUCCACCUGGGGAGUACGCCGGCAACGGUGAAACUCAAAGGAAUUGACGGGGGCCCGCACAAGCGGAGGAACAUGUGGUUUAAUUCGAUGAUACGCGAGGAACCUUACCCGGGCUUAAAUUGCAUUUGAAUGAUCAAGAAAUUGGUUAGUCGUAAGACAAAUGUGAAGGUGCUGCAUGGUUGUCGUCAGCUCGUGCCGUGAGGUGUCGGCUUAAGUGCCAUAACGAGCGCAACCCUUAUCUUCAGUUACUAACAGGUCAUGCUGAGGACUCUGGAGAGACUGCCGUCGUAAGAUGUGAGGAAGGUGGGGAUGACGUCAAAUCAGCACGGCCC